GCACUAUACACUGGAGUACAUAAUUGAGACAUUUGUUAGCACUAUAGUAAAGUUACAAGUCUGUUCUGGCACAAAAUUUAUAAGCAACGGUCUUGAUGUAGUCAUGCCUUGAAAUUUCCCCUCUUAUGUGCAUGCCAUUUUUCUCCAUAAGAUAGUCAGUUUUCUCUUUCUCCCAUCGUCGAACUGCAGCCGGUGUGUCCAUAGAUUUCAUUUUGAUGUAUGUUGUAGCCUGAAUCUUCUUUACAACGUCAACAUAAAUAAACAUGUUUGGAUAUUUUGAAUAAAAUUGUUCAUUAAAAUGUGCAUGGAAUGACUCCGGUCCAUUGUUGGUUCGUUUAAAAUUAGCAGUGGGUGUAGCAGCC
rnacentral:lncRNA from 1 species